CAGCCGUAAACUAUGCGCGUUAGGUGUACUGGUGACCACGAGUCACCGGGGUGUCGAAGGGAAACCGUGAAACGUGCCGCCUGGGAAGUACGGUCGCAAGGCUGAAACUUAAAGGAAUUGGCGGGGAGCACCACAACGGGUGGAGCCUGCGGUUUAAUUGGACUCAACGCCGGAAAUCUCACCGGAUAGGACAGACAUAUGAUAGUCGGGCUGAAGACUCUACUUGAUGAUCUGAGAGGUGGUGCAUGGCGUCAGUGACU
rnacentral:rRNA from 1 species